rnacentral:lncRNA from 1 species
GCCAUAAGUAUUUCUUCUCUGUUCCUAGCACGCUUUUGUAUUCUUACCAAAAUUAUCAACCUUAAUUAUAUAUACUAUCUAAAUAGUAGUUGCUGCAACAAAUUUAUGGUGAUUACAUAAGAAUUAGUAGAUAUAUGGAUGACCAGAAAUUUUAUAUGUCGACAAAACCUCAGAUCGCACCUUUUUCUAUUAAUAAUAGCGAAGGAAAACUUUGUAAACUCUGCAAGUGUUUACUAAAAAUAUUGAUGAAUGCUAUAAAUAAACAGUUGUAUUUGAAUUUUUAAAGAAGAAGUGACCUAUAAGGUCUUACGUUCAAGGUUAAUACAAAUACAAAGUUAGAAUAUAAUGUAAUUGUAUUUGCUUGAAUAAUCUAUGAACCAAUAAUAAUCUAUGACGGUUCUAAAGUUAGAACUUUCAAUUUGAUGUAUGGCAACGACUGCUAGGCAAGAAAGACAAAUUUUGACAAAACACGCAAUCACUCAUACACUAUGACGUAAAUAUUGAAAAGCGUAAUGGAAGUCAAACAUCAGUUAUACACGCGUUAUGGUAUAACCUUAUAUUUCCUAUUAACCUUGCUUACAUUAAAAUAUUUCAGAAAUAAAAAAUUAAUGUUAAUACACACUGUAACAAAUUUUAAUAUGCUUAUUGGAAGCAAUAGAUAGAUAAUCCCAACGAGCCGUUGAUAUACUUUUGCUUUAAUUAAUGAACAAGGAAAAACAUUAUUGUAUAAAGUUUUAACUAAACACUUUCGUACACUUCAAUGGAUUAACCAUUAGCGGCUUUCAGAAAGAAGGAUGGUUUUUCAUUUAUUGAUUCAUUAUGAAGGAAUUACACUGAUUUCCGCACCUGUAUCGACAAGGAUGUUUUUCCGAUAAAUUUUAUCGUAAAUUUUAUAAAAGUGGGAAGGAGUUCAUCUUUGAAACCUAAUAAAAAAAUAUGAUGCAAAUACAUAAUCUUCAUUCCUUAAAUGCAGACUUGGACUUGCUGCUUAAGAAUUGGACUUGAGUCUAUAUUUUGAAUAUUUGCAACAUAAUUGAUCUUACAAUCAACGACUUACGUCUUGGAUUCAAAAGAUUUUAGAUGGUUGUUAGCUAAUUUUCUCACAAUUUGAGGGCUUUAUGAAUACUCAAGGACUUGGACUUGCAAUUUGUAUAAGGACCUACUACUACCUCUGCUAUAAAUGAAGCAAUAUGUAUAUUCUUGGAAACAAAACGAAAUUUCAACAAAUAAAAUACUAACAGACAGUGUAAGUCAAAUUAAUUGAAUGUUUUUGGUAUAGUGAGCUUUUUGAGUAUACAAGUUGACUCAGCUUUUUGCCUUCUCAGUUUCUACAACGAGAUAGGCAGCGACACCCAUUCCUACUUUGGAGGCAUCUCCGAAGACAGCAAGAACCUUUAUGCUUCCCCGUUUAACGCGGGAAACGGAGAUCUUUCAUCAAAGGGAUUUGUUUAACCCAUUUGCUAAAGAUCUUAAUGCCCGCUUUAGCAGCUUCGGGGACUUUAGACUUAAGAUUUCGUCCCACUUAAACUUGUCUUCCCAUAAUAAAGGAAGAAUCAGUUUAAAUUGCAUUAUAAAUGGUAAUACAUAAUCUUGUAUGUCAAAGACUUGACGAGCUAGAGAUACAAUAUCCCAUCUUGAUAAUGAAGCACAAUCAGGAUUAAAUUUUGAAAUAUGCUUCCAAGAUAAAACAUAAAUUCAUCUGUACAUACGUCCAACUUUAAACCAAGAACUGAAAUCUCAUCUCACGUGGAGGAACAAUUCGUUCUGAUUCAAUCAAUGAAAAAUUUUCUGGACGUGAAGAUGUUAUCUUGUGGCCAUAAAAUCCUCCACAUUCGAGAAUUUUUAAUUUCUUUAAAGUAGUUUGGAUAGCUUUUUCCGGAGUAUCCUGGGUAUAUUGUCCAUGUAGGUCAUUUUAUUUAUAAAUUCUGAAGCUAUUGUGUAUUUCUUUGCUACCUUCUAGGCAGUUUCCUUAAGAUACCACAUAGAAAUAUAUUGAGCUAAAACUAGUCUUAACACAACGACCUUGAACCUUAUCAACCACGGUUGAUCUCCGGGCUUUCUCCAAAUAAAACGGAACAUAUUUUUAUCAAGGGGGUCGGCAAAGUUAAUCGAUAAGAACAUCUUUUUAAUGUCAACGGUGACAAAAUACUUCAAGCAUUUAACCUUUAGAAUAAGUUCCAUUAUAUGUGGAAGCAUAUUCUUACCUGGCAUUAGUAGCUUAUUUAAUAAUUUAGUUUUAUCUUUGAAAUCAGGUAAAGAUGCAUUUACCACAAUCCUACAUUUGUAGAGUCCUUAUCAAGCCGAAAGACAGGUCUUGAUAUCAGGACAUGGGUGGAAUAUUUUGUAAUUCUUUCGUUAGAAGGAACUUACUCAGUAUAAUCAAGAUCAAGAAACUCUUGAUAAGCCUCUUAAACUAAGUUCAUAUGUUCAGAUUUGACCUUAUCGUGAACUCGCUGCAUGACAGCAAUGGUUCUACUGUAGUUAUCAGAUAUAACUCUACCAUUAGGAUCACUAUCAAUCCAUGGCAUUUUUAUGAAUCACUCAUCCCUAGAUGUAUCAAAGACAGCAGCUUUUUGCUUAUGCAAAUCUGUCUGGAGCCAGUUCUGGUUCUUGAGGAUUUAUACCCACAUUCUCCCCAUUCCAAAACUUAGUUGAAUUAAACUCGAGAGAACGAUAAAUAGUAUCAAGAUCAAAGUCUUUAAUUUGAGUAAUAAUUCCAGAAUACAAAGAAGCCUUAUUAUCAAUGGUAAUUCUUUCUGAAAUAUGAUAUGCUCCUCUAAGGACCCCUCCUAACAUAGUCAACUUAGCAACAGGGAAUGGCAUGUUAGUUUCUCCUGAAAGUAGCAAAAUCAUCUUUUGUUUCUGAAGCAUUAUUGUGGAAUAAUAAGGUUCCGAAAAGAAGAAUUUGAAAAUCUCUAGUUCGUGUACUAGGUAACUCUUCUGUCAACUUAAUGUAUUUAGUGUAAUCCCAUUUUUUAGGAUCAAAUUGAAUUGGAUCUAAGGAAUUAACAAUUCGUUUACAAGUAAUAGCGACAAUGGGUGCUGUACAAGUAAAAUUCUUCAAAUUUGAUAAUUCAAAAACAACUUGCUUUUCUUUAUAGGAAUUUAUUGCUCCCCUGCAACAGCAAUAUCGAUAUUGAUAAUAUCUCCCUUUCAUCCUAGAGAUUUUGCUGUAGCAGAUUUAAUGAUUGAUAGGAUUAAUAACUAAGGUUGAUAAUUUUUGUAAGAAUCCAAAAGCGUACGAGGAUAAGAGAAGAAAAACUUAUGGCAUCAUUAGAGUUGUUGGAAUCGUUAAAAAAAACGAAUUCGAUUGGUCGAAAGAGAUUAUAUAAAAAAAGGAAUAAAACACGUUGGUAACCUUGCAUCUUCUAAACAACUUUUCCUCAGUAUUGUACUAACCAUCAGAAAAGCAACUUCCCCGCACUACUCUCUCACGUAUAUCAUCAUCAUGCCGAAGAAAACGUGCCUUUUUCAUGGGGUUCUAACAACGGAGUUACUGAUGUGUGGAAUUAUGAUUGGGAAAAUAAAAGUAUAUCUUGCCGUUUUUGUGGUGUCUCGUGCCCAUCUUGUUCUUUAUGGCAAGUAAUCCGCCACUCCGAAACCUCACAUCAACAACUUAAAAGUCUUCAAUAAACACAAGAUUCAAGUAGACAAAGGAGAAUUAAACGGUUCAUCAUUCAAUUUGGACGUAGCACUGAAAAACUUCUCUUGGUCGAUGGGGCAUUAGCAACUUGGUUGGGGAAGUAUGUCAAGGAGUUUUGAAUAGAAUGAAAGAAGAGGUGGAAGAAAAAGAUAUUUUCGUUGCACUAGAUGAGACAAGAGAUCAAGGGAGGUCAAUGACUGCAAUUUUGAUUGGCCCUUUGGAUGGACAUUUCUUUGAGAGGCCUUACCUUAUUGACUUGAUUGAUAUUGAGAUUGCAAAUGCAAACAAUUUAAAGAACAUUGUCAUAAGCUCAGUUUAUAUGUUAUUGGGAGAAGAUUUUGUCCCGUAUAUACUUAAAGUUUUCAUCACUGUCUCGUAUUGUCUCAAAGCAGGAGAAGAUCUUCGGGGAAAAAAUUCCUGGAAUUGAUUCCCAUUACAUAUAUUGGCUCAUGGAUGACAUAGAGUUGCAGAUAUGGUUCAACUAAAGUUUCCUUUAUCGAACGAACUUAUUUCCAAUGUGAAGAAGAUGUUUUGGAUUUCUGGAAGAAGAAAAAGAGUAUUUACUGGUUUGUACGAAAUUCCCCUCCCUCCAUCACCAUUUAUAACAAUAUAGGGAACUUGGUUAAAAGCAGUGGAGUACUACUAUCGUUACUUUGACGUCUUCAGAUAAUAUUUAAACAGACUUGAUGAAGAUUUGGCAGCAACCAGAAGAGUACAAGAAGUAAUUAAUAAUUAUUCCUUAAGAGAAGAAGUCGUAUUUAUACACGAUAAAUUUUCGUCAAAUACCUUUGGGAAUAACUGCGCUUGAGGAAAGAUUGCCUCUUCUUACCAGCCUAACCAUAGUAGAAAAUCUGACUCAAGAUUUGAAGGAAAGGCAAUUCAAGACCAAGUUAAAAGAAGUGCUUCAAAAGAAUCCUGGCUACACAAAACUAAAGGAACUCUCAAUAAGUGAAAACCUUGUAUACAAAAAUAUUCUAAUUGUCAAUUGUGAUGUUGAGAGAGUCUUUACUAUAAUGAAUAUCAUCAAUACGAAAAAGAGGUCCAAACUAAGUACUAAGAAAUUGAGGGAAUUGCUGAUCCCCAAAGACGGCAAGAUGUUUACAAUCAUCCACACCAAAUUACGAAAUGGAACUCUGAAUUUUUGUACCAUCUAACACCAAAAUUAUCAAGAAUUAUGAUACACAACUAAUUAAAUGGCAAAAAAAGUGCUUAA